AUCUCACCACUGAUGUUGGCUCAUAAUCUUCAAUUAUCUUCAUGUCAUUCCUUUUACAGCUGUUCAUUUUGAGCACAGCAAGAUGAGAUGAUCCACGGUCCCAAGAAGUGAUGCUUCUUGAUGCCUUUAGACACAUGAUGAAAACUACUCAUGUAUAAGCCAGCCUUGGGUACAAUGAUAGGCCAUCUGGGCCUUCCAGAUUCCACACAUAUGACCUGCUUCCAACCAGUGCUGACCAGCCCUUGGAAAUUCUAUCUGCCUUCUGCAGAUUGCAACUUCAGUCUUUCCCAUUUGAGGAUGACCCUUGUUACAACUGAGCAAUGACUUCAAUCUGUAGCCAAGGUGGAACUUCUUCGAUUCGUGGCUAUUAAGGAGACUAUCAAAGAAGUGGAUGAUAAAAAGAUAAGGUAAGAGAUGUUUGUAUUAUUUCCUCUGAUAGUGUACUGAAGAUCUUCAGAGAAAGAGAUGCAGACUUCCAAUUAAAAUAAAAUUGAAAGCAAAUGUUCA
rnacentral:lncRNA from 1 species